rnacentral:rRNA from 1 species
AUUGAACGCUGGCGGCAGGCCUAACACAUGCAAGUCGAGCGGAUGAGAAGCGCUUGCUCUUCGAUUCAGCGGCGGACGGGUGAGUAAUGCCUAGGAAUCUGCCUGGUAGUGGGGGACAACGUUUCGAAAGGAACGCUAAUACCGCAUACGGCCUACGGGAGAAAGCAGGGGACCUUCGGGCCUUGCGCUAUCAGAUGAGCCUAUGUCGGAUUAGCUAGUUGGUGAGAUAAUGGCUCACCAAGGCGACGAUUCGUAACUGGUCUGAGAGGAUGAUCAGUCACACUGGAACUGAGACACGGUCCAGACUCCUACGGGAGGCAGCAGUGGGGAAUAUUGGGCAAUGGGCGAAAGCCUGAUCCAGCCAUGCCGCGUGUGUGAAGAAGGUCUUCGGAUUGUAAAGCACUUUAAGUUGGGAGGAAGGGCAGUAAGUUAAUACCUUGCUGUUUUGACGUUACCGACAGAAUAAGCACCGGCUAACUCUGUGCCAGCCGCCGCCGUAAAAC